AGCCAUUUUGUUCAUUGUGAAUAGAUUUAGUUUACGCGCGUGCUAGCAACUGUCGUUUCAGUUGAGACGCGUCAGCUUGUUCCUAUCUUAUACGUCGAUUACAAGUCGUUUACUCAACCACAAUCCAAAAUGAGUGGCCGUGGCCCUCCUCGUAUCGAAGGCAUGACCUCAUUGAAAGUUGACAACCUCACUUAUCGCACUACAUGUGAAGACUUGCGUCGAGUAUUCGAAAAAUAUGGGGAUGUUGGAGAUGUUUACAUCCCAAAAGAUCGUUUUUCUCGAGAAAGUCGUGGUUUUGCUUUCGUCAGGUUUUAUGACAGACGUGAUGGAGAAGAUGCCAUGCAUGCCAUGGAUGGUAGAAUGAUGGAUGGACGAGAAUUAAGAGUUCAGCUGGCUCGCUAUGGACGCCCUGAUGACCCACCACGGCGCAGUGGACGUAGCUCACGCAGGAGGAGGUCUCGUUCUCGUAGUCGUUCACGUGACCGUCGAUCCAGAUCUAGAUCGCGUUCGCGCAGUCGUAGUCGAGACCGUGAUGACAAGCGAGGAAGUCGCCGUGAUGACGAUCGUCGAAGCAAGAAGAAGAGCAAGUCCAGGUCCCGUAGUCGCAGUGAUAGUCGUGAAAGAAGCCGCGAUAGAAGUCGUGAUCGAAGCCGUUCUCGCAGCAAGAGCCCAAGAGACGAUGCUGCAAACAGAUCUCCAGCAGCAAAAGAAGAACCAUCAGCUGACGCAGACAGGAGAAAUCAUGACGAAGAAGACAACGGACAUGCAGAUCGUCGCGAUGACGAUAACGAUCACAGGCGAUCUGCCUCACGUUCGCGAUCUCGUUCGCGUUCCCGAUCUGGAUCAAAGGACUGAAAUUUUUUUAAAGGCGUGUAAGGGACUUGAAGAAAAGGGGGCUGUGGUGACUUUUUUUUUUUUUUUUUUUUUUGGUGGUGGCUGCACACGAAGCGACACGAAAAAAUGGCGCGAUAUCGUCCGUUAACGAGAGGCGAGCUGCCGAGGGUGGUUUCCUGAGCUUGCUGUUAGCUGUGCUGAUGGUUGGCGUUGUGGCCGAGAUGCGAAGCCGGUGGCCGAGCCGAGCAGUUGCAGCCGCGUGUCCAGACUUGUUUUCCCGCCAAGCUGCCCAAAAAAAAAAAAAAAAGACGGCAGAAAAAUCUCUUUCCUUUAGCCUUUAUGAUACGCGAGAGAUUCGAGAUUGUGCAGUUGACCUGUCCACCUGGCGAAGUUGCUGGCGUUCCUGCAGUUUAGGAGUAAGGGGUAUUGGCCUCGGAGUUGAGAGCGCGAGCUGUUGGGGACUUUGGCGAUGGCGCCGGCUGUAGCGAUGACACGGAUCCGGGGCAGGAGGACAUCUUCCGUUGCGGCUGUUCCUUUUCUUUUCUAAUUUUAUUCAAAAACAAAGAAUUCAUUUUCAGGUUUUUCUUAUCGAGAUUGCCGAGAUAGUUCCUUGCUGAUGCGUGCAGUGCUGCCAGCUUUGGUUUUUUCCCCUUCUUUUUUCGUGGUGAAAAAGAACAAAAAAGAAAAGCCGCUUCUCGUCCUCAUUAACCGGCUGGGUGGCGGCGGUAAAUACGCAGCACAGAGUUCGAUUUGCUCGACCGGCGUCGGUAGAGGGGGGAGAGGAAAGGUGGGAGUUACCUGGUAUACAAGAAACUUGCAGCAACACGUGGUUCUAGUGUGCGAUGGAGUUCGCACGGCAGUUCAAUUGCAUCAUGUAUACGCUUGCUUGCCCUUUCGAUCCAAGUGUCAAUGAAAGUUGACUUCCUUUAGGUAAGUAACUGAAAUUGCAGCACGCCUAAACAAGGACUGUAGGGUUCUUUCAUGUGUUUUGUUUUUUUAUAGUGAACCCAAUUGUGUUGAAACAACGCUUUGAGUAGAACAACUAAUAUGGCGUAGUUUUUUCAGGCGCUGUCUAGGGGGUGGCGGCGGUGGCUUCUCUUGACGGGAGUAUUUAUCUCUGCAGUCACCGGCGUUUGUGUGGGAUUCGGUUGGCCGUUAGUUCACCGCCCAUUUUUGGACGAGUUUUUUUUUUCUCGUUUCGGUAAGACCUACCUCCAACUGCCAAUUCUCCCUCAGGGUUAACUCAUGUGAAGAAACCAGUCAAGUCGCCAAAGGCGUUUAAGUCAACAAAAGGUAAUGGAACUCCUUUUUUUUUUCUCACAUUUAUUGUUGUCACUUUACUGCUCUGUUGAUCAAGUCUUUGCGAACUUUACACUGUGCAAUAAAGAAAAAGAUUGUUGAUGGCAUUUAUUGUUUCUCUGGUCUUUCGUGAUAAUAAAUUAAUAAAACAAUCGGUAAAUCA